GAAUUGCCUCCAAUUUAUCAAACUGUUCAUAAUAAACUUUACAAAAGAAAAUAUAGAACAUGAUUUUGUUAACGUACGGAUUUCAAGUUCAAACUUGUCCAAGUAAUCGGAGAGAAGAUGCUUGUGGAAUUGACUCGCGACGAACACCACGCUCCCAGAGACGGCAAAAACAGCCAUGAAACCUAAAGAACUUUCCAUAUAUAUAUCUCUCUCUAAGGUUUAUUCUGUUACUAAUAAAAUCGAUCUUAAUUCUCUGAGAAUAAAUAAAGAAUGAUAAGUUUGGUUGCAUUAAUUAGGGGAAGAUGCUAGGAAGGAGAAGGGAUCAGGGGACAUGAUCGGAGAAGAUAGACGGAGAAGCAGAGAGGAAGAGAGAAACGGAAGAAGCAUUGCGUAAAAAAAUUAACAAGAAGGACAGAGAGGAUUGAUCGAAGAAUGGCGUUGUAUAAAAAGAGAGUUUUUAUUUUCUCUUUAUUUUGGCCAACAAACAAACAACUCAUAAUAAAAUAUGCAUAAAUCGAAUUAAUAAUAAUAAAAUUGUGUGCUAUUUUUAUAUUUUUUGUUUAUUUGUUAUAGUUUCUUCUAUGAAUUGAAAAAGCUUCACCAGUCACCACCUCUUCAUAUAUUUUGGUGUCUUUCUCAAUAGAGUAGAACAAUUUGAACUCUUUCACUUUUUUUGGUUUCUUGUUCUAAAUGAUGUCACAAAAAUUCCAAAAAUAUAACACAGAGAAUGUCAGGCACUUGAGUGUUUCUAUAUUUUUGUUUUUGUUUUAAAAUAGGGAUUAGAACUUCCCCAUUGCAAGGUUCUAAAGAAGACACUUUAAGAACCUGAUGCAACUUUUUGGAGACACAUAUAUCUAUUUUUUAUUAGUUAAUUUUUUAUAGAAAUUAAAUUUAAAUAUAGAAUCACAAUACAUUAAAAGAUUUACCUUUUAUUGCUGAUAACCUUAGAUAAACAUCUUUAUAGAUGAGUAUGCUUUAAGGCGGGGAUCCUCAGAGCUAAAGAUUUCGUGUAUAUUAUUAUUAGUACUAUUAUGUUUUUUUUUAUAAUUUUUACAAAUCAACUUGCUUUUUUGUCCCAUUAGUGAAGUCAACUUUGUUUGCCUGUAUGAAAAACAAUUGAAGGAUAAUAACUGCCAAGUUCUCUUAGCAAAAAAAAAAUACUGCCAAGUUCUAUAUAGAAUGAUCGUUUUGUCAAAUGGGUGAAGGAUAGGAAGUUUGCUUUCAAUAUAAUAAAAAAUCAAAUGAUUUUUUCAUAGGAUAACAUAAAAAUAAAUAGAGGUGAUGGCGAGGUCGGGAAAUAGAUAUGGCUCAUUUUGAGAUGUGGUUCCAACGACCUCUUCAAUGGGUGUGGUGACAUGUGGUGUUCGAUCUGUUUUUUUUUUGUUUUUUCAUACAGUUUUAAUUUUUAUUUUUUUAACUUUUCAGUUUUGGGGAAAUGUAUAAUCCAGAGGAAAAAUCAUAUAUACAAAUAAUGAGAAGGUAGAAUUGUGAAUAUUUAGAUUACUACAAAUAGUUUGGGUUGUUGAAAAUGCCGCCUACAAGAGUCAAUUCGUGAACAAGAAUGACUUUUGUUCUGCAUGUUUCUCACAUCGUCCAUGGAGAUGAUGUGGAUAUGUGCGGCACUCGUUACAGUGGUAAACCCAUGCAUGCACAUUUUCAUUUAUGAUCGCGAGAGAGGUGAGAUCGCUCAAAGUAUUGAAAUAAAGACAAGGUUGAGAUGACGUAUAGAGAAAUUUGGUUGCAGUUAACUUUCUGGGAUGACAUUGAGAACAUCAUAUGUUUGGAAACCUAAUUAUAUUAAGUUGUUUGGUAAUCCAUUGGAAAAUAAGUGGAAAUAUAUAUAUAAACACAAGCAAACUUAAUUUACAAAAUAAAUGCACAAGAUAUACAAAAAGAAAAAAAUAGUACUCCCUCUAUUUCAUAAAAAAAAUGUCAUUUAAACACAUCUCACGCUUAAUAAUACAAUUCAAUGCAAAAAAAAAGACACAUUUCACGCAGAUUGAAAAAUGAUUAAAUAUACUAAUGUACUCCUAUUUAAUGUAUAAUUAUUUAAUUGAAAAUAAUUUAACUAAACAUCUAUUGGUUAUUUAAAAGGAUAAAAAUAUAUUUAUUAUGAAAAUUCACAUUAGAAAUGCAUAAUGAAACUUUAUUGAAACAAGAAAAAAAUGUUAAAAUGAUGUUCUUUAUGAAACAAAUAGAAUAAGAAAUACACAAGUUAUAAAUGUAUUGUAUCUAAAUUAAUGUUGGAGUAUGGAGCUUCAUCAAUGCUAAGAGGUUGGAGGUAGCCACUUCGUGAUUACAAUAUAAUAAUGUACUGUGAACUGGCAUGGUCCGCAUGAAGGAAAUUUAUUGAUGAUCAUAAUAUAUAUUGAAAAGUUUCAAUAUUGGUAAGAGAAUUUGCCAUGUUUUAGCAUUAACACCAAUUGGUAGAUUAGAUCAAAAAUACAAUAAAAAUUAUAUAACAUGCAGCGAAAGACUCUAUAAUUGUGAGAAACUAAAUCGUAAUAGUUGUUUUUUUUUAUUUUUAUUAAUUAACUCUGAAAUAAGUAGAAAUAUAUAUUAACAAACUUACAAAGUGAACAAAUAUAUCAUAGCCGCAAAGCGCACUCGUUUCAUUAAGGCAAAUCUCUAUUUCUUCUCCGUUUACGUCAUGCCUGAUUUGUUCAUAUCGAACCUUGACAAGGAGCUUGUUUAGGCCUGGGAGAUCGGGUGACCAUUCGGGUUUGGUUCAGAUUCAAUUGGUUUUGGGUUUAUAAAUUUUAGCCCUAUUCGGGUAUUAUAAAAGUUUGUUUCGGAUUUUGUUACAUAGAUACAGACUUCAGAACCGCCAUAAGACAAUCUUCAGUUGAGAACACAACAUAUUAAGAUAGUCUUCAGUUCAAAACACAUAUUAAACACACAUUUCAAAUCCCACAUAAGACAAUAUACAAUACAAUGAUCAAAGCCGAAAAGAAACAAAAGAGUAAGAUGACUAAUGAAGAAGUAACUUGAACCAGACAUAAGACAACUUUUUGUUCACAAAAACACAUGAUUAAAUCCAAACUGGCAAACUCCAAACUGAAAACCCAUUACUUGAUUGCAUAGGAGAGAACGAUGUGUAAUGCUCACCUCUGAGUGAUUUCUUGACAUCUCUAACAAAGGAGACAAUGACUUUCAGUGGUUUUGUAUCUCCAGUUUAAGCAAUCGUGGUUACUUAUAUAAAUUUCAAAUUCGCUGAACAGAAGGGAAGACAAAUCAGAGGGGAUCAUGAUUGGCAAAGAAUAUAGGGUUAGCAAGAUAUUUGGGGAGCUUAUAUGAGAUUUCGCACAACAAUCUCAGUGUCAAUUGAGAUUGUAAAAUGGGAAAUAUGAAAUGAUAAGAGGAAAAAGUAGCUCAAAGUUUUGAUAUCCAUUUUACCUGAUUGGGUGGGUGGUAUUUAUCCAACCCGAACCGACACACAUCUUACCAAAAUAAUGAGACCAAUCAGGUAUGUCUCAAGAUCUGAACCCGAGCUGAACCAAUUUUAUCGGACUGGGUUUGGUUCGGGUAAUCGGGUUAUUUGCCUUGGCCUAAGCUUGUAUGUGUAGUAGUUGAAUGACAUGAAGUGUGACCAACCAAUAGAAACCAGAACUUUAUGCCAAAGACAAAAGGAGUAUUAAUCAAUGCACUGGAGUUGCAAAACUCGUAUGUAUGUCAGAUGAUAGGUCUCAGGAUUUGAUUAUCUGAAACUGUAUAUGGAUCUUAAUUAGAAGUAAACAUCUCACUGUAAAUAAAAGUUUAGAACAUGUCUAAACGUAGAUAAAGUUGGAUAAGAACAAUAUUGUAUUAUUUUGUCCGGAUGUCCCCAAAAAAAAAUUUUGUCCAACAAAAAAAUUGUUUGUAAUAUUGAAAUCGUUCAAAAUGAACCGAAAAGAUCUUGACUUUGAAUAUGAAGCUGUAUAUAAUAUACAUUCACGAAGGAACCACCAUCGAGCAUGAAAAUCAUCACAGUUACUAAAGCUAAAGUUAUGGCCUUCUUCAAAAUCCAUUAAGCUUGCCUAUAUUGCUAAUCUUAGUUACUUUUAGAUCAACAUGUCUUCUAGUUCCACAAUGAGACAUUUUUACAUGCGAUGAAAUGAAAAUGUUUUUGCAAUCACAUGCUGCUACAACACCACAAGAAUCAAAUGUCAUAAACUAUUAGGCAUUAAAGUAAAUGAAAAUGGAAAAGAUAAAUUCAAACAUUCUUCUUAAUUGAUUAAUUCACAUUCUCAAAACAAAUACUUUACAUAAUUUCAAUAUAUCACAUUCAUAGCUAUAUCAAUUUUUGAAAAAUUUAUUCAUUUUUUCUUCAACUAUUCAGUUAUAAAUUUUUAUCGAAUUUUCCUUCAACUAUUUCUAUAUAAUUAUUUCUUUUUUUCUUCCUAAUCAACAAAUGAAAUCGAAAUCAAUCACAUAUGGAAGCGAAAUCUCAAAUCCAAAUUAAUGCAUAUGGAAAUAAAAACCCAAAUAAAAAUAUGUAAAUAAAUAUUUUAACGAAAUCUCAUAGAUCUAAAUCGACACAUAUAGAAAUGAAAUCUCAAAUCAACAUAUAAAAAUGAAAUAUCAUGAAUCUUAAUCAUUCCAAUCAAACAUGAGAUCUAAGGCUAAAGAAACAAACGACAUAUCCAUUAUAAUCAAAAUCAACACAUAUUAAAAUGAAAUCUCAAAUCAAUAUUGACGCAUAUGGAAAUGAAAUCUUAAAUAAAAAUUGACGCAUAUGAAAAUGAAAUAUCAUAUAUUUAAAUUAGUCAAAUCAAACACAAGAUCUAAGACAAAGGAAACAAAAGACACAAUCAUUAUAAUCAAAAUCAUUGCAUAUUGAAAUGAAAUCUCAAAUCAAAAUUGAGGCAUAUGGAAAUGAUAUCUCUAAUCAAAAUAUGGAAAUGAAACCUCAUAGAUCAAAAUCGAUGCAUAUGAAACUGAAAUCUCCAAUCAAAAUCGACGCAUAUGGAAAUGAAAUAUCAAAGAAAAAUAUGGAACCAAACAUGAAAAUGAAAUAUCAUAGAUCUAAAUUAUUGCAUAAGAGUAUGAAAUCUCAAAUAAAAAUUGACGCAUAUGUAAAUGAAAUAUCAUAAAUCUAGAUGAAAAAUAAGAUACAAAAUGUCUAGAUUAAAAAUAGUAUAUACAACCCCAUAAUCAAAUGUUAUAAACUAUUAGCAUUAAAGUAAUUGAGAAUAUAAAAGAUAAAUUCAAACUUUCUUCUUAAUUGUCUUGAAAAACAAAUUUAAAUUCACAUCAUCAAAACUUCUACGUUACUUAAUUUCAAUAUAUCACAUUCAUAGUUUAUCCAAUUUUCAAAAAAAAAUUGAUUCAGUUUUUCUUCAGCUAUUCAGUUAUAAGUUAGCCAAAUCAACAAUUUAAACAAUAAAACUCCACAAAGAUAUCACAACAACUAAAAUGAGCACUACUUGACUUGUACAUAAUUAUUUAUCCUUUUUCCGAUCAACACAUAUGAAAAUGAACUCAAAUUCAGAUUGACGCAUAUGAAAAUGAAAACUCAAAUCAAAAUAUGAAAACAAGUAUAGAAAUGAAAUAUCAUAGAUCUAAAUCAACACAUAUGGAAAUAGAAUCUCAAUUCAAAAUCAACGCAUAUAAAAAUCAAAUAUCAUAAAUCUAAACCAUUCAAAUCAAACAUGAAAUCUAAGGCUAAAAAAAACAAAAUUCACAUCCAUUAUAAUCAAAAUGAAUGCAUAUGAAAAUGAAAUAUGAAAUCAAAUCGAUGCAUAUGGAAAUAAAAUCUGAAAUCAAAAUCGACACAUAUUGAAUUGAAAUAUCAUUGAUCUAAAUCAGUUCAAUCAAACACAAGAUAUAAGACCAAAUAAUCAAUAGACUCAAUCAUUAUAGAUAAAAUCAAUGAUAUGGAAACGAAACAUUAAAGUAAAAUUGAUGCAUAUGGAAAAGAAAUUUCAAAUUAAAAUAUGGAAACCAAUAUGGAAAUGAAACCUCAUAGAUCUAAGUCGAUGCACAUGAAAAUAAAUCUCUAAUUAAAACCGACGCAUAUGAAAAUGAAAUAUCAUAGGUUUAAAUCAGUGCAAUCAAACACGAGAUCUAAUACCAUGAAAACAUAAGACACAACCAUUAUAAUCAAAAUAAACGCAUAUGAAAAGAAAAUCUUAAAUCAAAAUCGAUGCAUAUGGAAAUAAAAUCUCAAAUAAAAAUAUGGAACCAACUUGGAAAAUAAAUCACAUAUAUCUAAAUUGAUGCAUAUGAGUAUGAAAUUUCAAAACAAAAUCGACACAUAUGUAAAUGAAAUAUCAUAAAUCUAAAUCAGUUCAAUCAAACACGAGAUCUACGACCAAUGAAAAAAAAUACAUAUAUUAUAAUCAAAAGAAACGCAUAUGGAAAUGAAAUCUCAAAUCAAAAUUGAUGCUUAAAGAAAUGAAGUUCAACUUAAAAGCAGAAACAAUUAAAUAUUUUCUUAAAAUAGAAAGGAAAAUGUAAUAGUUAAUUAUUAUUUUUUGUUUUAUAAACCAAUUAACAAUUGAAGUUUUAUUGCAUUAAAAAGAAAAAUAGUAUAAUUCUUUCUGAUCUUUGUGAGUUCUGAUUUUACAUAAAGUACAUGAACAAUAAUGUGAACUCUGACUGUAUGUGAUCAUUUGACAAAAAAUAUGAAGUUUUAGUAAUAAAAGAUUAAAAAAUUUGUUGCAUAUCAUCCUUGAGAAGUGUAUCAGUUAAACCAAUUCGGUAUAAGAAAAGUAAAAUCUAUGACCAUUACUUGUAUUGAGAGCGGUUUGUUGAUAAAAUCUUUCAAAUCAAAUCUCUCAAACCGAAGACAAAACAAUAAACCGGUUUGCAUACAAGUAAUGGUUAAGACUUCUUUUUUUAAAUAACAUUGAUAAUUGAUUGGUUAACUAAUAAUAAUAAAAGCUAAUAGAGAAACCGGUUUGCAUACAAGUAAUGGUUAAGACUUCUUUUCUUAAAUAACAUUGAUAAUUGAUUGGUUAACUAAUAAUAAUAAGAGCUAAUAGAGAAGACAUGUAAAACGACAAAGAAACUUGAUAGUGGCGUACAUUUGAGAGAUCUUUCACUCUUUCUACUCUCAUUAGAACGACAAAAGAAACAACAUUAUGAAAUUGAUAAAUAAACCAAAUGGCAAGGCCGGCUUUAUCCGUCAGAACCUAUUAAAAUAUCAGGGGCGCCAAUUGCUAUAAUGUUCACUUUAGUCUAGUAUCACAUGAAUUUUUUAAUUUGACUUGCAGCCAUUAUGUUCGAAAUCUAUUUUUCUUUUCUUUUUUGAUAAUUAUAAUGCUCUUUUUUACAGGCUCCCUUCUUCCUUAGAUAAUAAUUUUUUUUCUUGUUUUGACAGUCGUCAAAAAUAUUGAGGAUUUCAUAUAAAUUCUACUAUCCCUAGGCAUUAUUAAAAUACAAUUUAUCUUCUUUCCAAAAAAAAAUUAUGUUAACAAGAAAUUUAAUAACAAUUAGCUUGAAUUAUAAAUUGUGCAUAUUCCAGGUUUCAUUGUGAUUGAUUUUAAUAUAAAUAAAUGCAUCUCCUAUUAAUUCAUUUUCUGUUAUUCUACUAUUUUUGCAAGUAUUAGUAUAAAAAUUAGAAACUUUUGAGUGUUAAUAAUAUUUGGUACUAUUUUGAUUACAUACUUAAUAUAUCGUAAAAACAAAAUCUAAGUAUGAUCAACGGGCAAAUUUUUUUUGUAGGCAUCAUUGAAAUCCGGACAGGCACUGCCAAAUGGGUUUAUCGUCAUCGUCUCAUUGGGUCUCCAAUGAAGAUCUGAACAGCUGAGUGUACUUAUUAUUACAAAAUCACAGCAAAAG